AUUGAACGCUGGCGGCAUGCCUUACACAUGCAAGUCGAACGGUAACGCGGGGCAACCUGGCGACGAGUGGCGAACGGGUGAGUAAUGCAUCGGAACGUGCCCAGUAGUGGGGGAUAGCCCGGCGAAAGCCGGAUUAAUACCGCAUACGACCUACGGGUGAAAGGGGGGGAUCGCAAGACCUCUCGCUAUUGGAGCGGCCGAUGUCAGAUUGGGUAGUUGGUGGGGUAAAGGCCUACCAAGCCGACGAUCUGUAGCUGGUCUGAGAGGACGACCAGCCAAACUGGGACUGAGACACGGCCCAGACUCCUACGGGAGGCAGCAGUGGGGAAUUUUGGACAAUGGGCGAAAGCCUGAUCCAGCCAUGCCGCGUGCGGGAAGAAGGCCUUCGGGUUGUAAACCGCUUUUGUCAGGGAAGAAAUCUUCUGGGUUAAUACCUCGGGAGGAUGACGGUACCUGAAGAAUAAGCACCGGCUAACUACGUGCCAGCCGCCGCGGUAACAC
rnacentral:rRNA from 1 species